rnacentral:rRNA from 1 species
UACGGGGGGAGCAAGCGUUGUUCGGAUUUACUGGGCGUAAAGGGCGCGUAGGCGGCGACUCAAGUUAGAUGUGAAAGUCCUGGGCUUAACCUGGGGACUGCAUUUGAUACUGGGUUGCUUGAAUUCGGGAGAGGAUAGCGGAAUUCCCAGUGUAGAGGUGAAAUUCGUAGAUAUUGGGAAGAACACCGGUGGCGAAGGCGGCUAUCUGGACCGACAUUGACGCUGAGGCGCGAAAGCGUGGGGAGCAAACAGG